rnacentral:rRNA from 1 species
CAGCAGUGGGGAAUAUUGGACAAUGGGGGAAACCCUGAUCCAGCCAUGCCGCGUGUGUGAAGAAGGCCUUUUGGUUGUAAAGCACUUUAAGCAGUGAAGAAGACUCUUCGGUUAAUACCCGGAGACGAUGACAUUAGCUGCAGAAUAAGCACCGGCUAACUCUGUGCCAGCAGCCGCGGUAAUACAGAGGGUGCAAGCGUUAAUCGGAAUUACUGGGCGUAAAGCGAGCGUAGGUGGCUUGAUAAGUCAGAUGUGAAAUCCCCGGGCUUAACCUGGGAACUGCAUCUGAAACUGUUAGGCUAGAGUAGGUGAGAGGGAAGUAGAAUUUCAGGUGUAGCGGUGAAAUGCGUAGAGAUCUGAAGGAAUACCGAUGGCGAAGGCAGCUUCCUGGCAUCAUACUGACACUGAGGCUCGAAAGCGUGGGUAGCAAACAGGAUUAGAUACCCUGGUAGUCCACGCCGUAAACGAUGUCUACUAGUCGUUGGGUCCCUUGAGGACUUAGUGACGCAGCUAACGCAAUAAGUAGACCGCCUGGGGAGUACGGCCGCAAGGUUAAAACUCAUGGAAAUUGACGGA